CGCUAGGGUGGCAGAGCACGGCAAAUGCAGGAGACCUAAACUUUCCGUCCCAAGGGUUCAAAUCCCUUCCCCAGCU
rnacentral:tRNA from 1 species